AUGAGCGGCCCCAACCCCGCCCCGGUCCGCCCGCCCCGCCCUGCCCUCCCUCCUGCCCGAGGCUCCCGGACCCGCGCUGGGGCCGGCGCUCAGGGAGCCAGCGAGCGGGCAGGCGGCCGGGCGGCGCCGGGCGGGAGGCGAGGUAGAAAGUUUCUCUGCUCGCCUCAUCUAGCGAGCCGGAGCCGAGAGCAAUCUCGGGACCCGCCCGGCCAGCGCGAGAAGAGAGACGGGAGCACAUCGCCAAACACACUGGAAAAGAAAAGAAAAGAAAAAAACCUGAAGUCAGCCCCAGGAGCAGGGACAGAUAAGGUCAUUGUAUUUUUUUUUUUCUUUUUGGUCACAUCACUUGAGGCAUGUGGGAUCUUGCUUCCCUGACCAAGGAUCAAACCUGCACCCCCUGCAUUGGAAGCAUGAAGUCUUAACCACUGGACUACCGAGGAAGUCUAAGUCAUUUUGUGUUUUAAAACAAAUAAAACAAGUAUCUUCAAGGAUUCUAUAAUUUAUUUUAUCUUUUAAUUUAAAAAUUGUUUUAAUUUAGGGGAUUUUGAAGAUUCAUUUUGACUUUAUUCUUUAUUUUUUACUCUUAAAUGUUUUGGGUUUUGGCAGUGGGGGAGAGAGUAGUAGCUACUAGCUUUUCAGAAGUCUCUUGCUAUUAAAAUGUGCCUCUGUCCCUGAAAGCUUCGUUUCUGCAGGCUACAUGAUUUCUCCUGCCAUACUAAGAUACACUCAACCACACACCUCCUUUCUGCUAAGCCCUGACUUCUUUUAGUUAAUAACAGCUCACCCGGCCUGUGACAGCUGCACAAAAGAAAUUAGAUCUCCAUAAGCAGCAGCUCUGAUAUAAUCUCUGCAUUCAUCUCCACUGCUGUUUCUGCAGUGGACCCUCCCCCUUCCUUCCGCAGCUGCCUCCCCCUCCCCAUCGCUGCAUUUACAUCACAAUGAGGCCCCACCCUCACCCAGCAGCUUUGUCUGGUCCUUCCUUCUGCUGCUGCACAGUGGACCAACUGGCACUCCCCGUCUUACUCCCGCCCUCUCCAUCGUCUCCUUUCCAUGCUCUUUCCCCUUCUGAGAGUCCCCCUCAGCCUUUUGGACCCUCCCAAUCUCAGAUUCUCUUGGACCUCCUCCUCAUCACCCUUUCUUCCUCUCUCAGGUCCUUCCUCCACUUGCCGCUUCCCUGUCUCUCUGAGGUCUGUUGGAAUGUUGGGCAUGAGGGCUAACCCAUAUGCUCAAUUCUCCCCUUUCUUUCUCCCUCCAACGUAACGAAUCACCCAUCCCAUCCACGUACAUUCUUCUUUGCCAAUCCCCACCCCAACUCAUGACUCAGCCCUCCCUAUAGACACUUCCCUCCAGGAGCCCAAGAUCGCAGCCCUGAGAGGUACUGAGGCAGCUGUCCUUCCUUGGUUUCCUGUCACAUCACCCCAGACAGCAGCCACUCAGUGAGAGGCCAAGCGGCAACUCAGGGUGUCACCAGGACUAAUUCAGUCUUCUCUUGUACUAAUCCCACCCUCCAGACUAGAUGAGACCACCAACUUAUCUCAGUUUUACUGGGACUUUCCGGGUUUUAGUGCUGCAGUCUCACCUCCCAGGGAAGUUCCAAGCACAACAGGAUGGGUGGUCACUCUGUGAAUCCCACAGUCUUCACAAAUGGAGUUCAGAGUGCAGAUGACUUAGAAAAACCUGAUGCCAAUAGGGGCACUGAAUAUGGUGCACACACUUAGGCCUAGCAGGUCAAGACACUCCGAUGUACCCACCAGACACUCAACACGUGGUGCCUCUGAGACACUAGUGCCAUCCAAAGGAGCCUUCUCUGGAGUGUGGCCAAGCGGGGAUGGUCACAGCUGUGUUCCAGACUGCUCUAGUGUGUUCCAGGGAGCCCCCCAGGGUCGGGCUUAGGAUGAAAAUGUUUAUAAACACCACUGUGAAAUGUUCUGUGGUGUUGCAGCUCACAGAAUCCAUGCACUGAAAUAGAAUAUGGUUUUUAUUUUAUUUGUGUAUUUGUCUGCACCACGUCUUAGUGUGGCGUGAAGGCUCCUAGCUGAGGCAUGCAGGAUCCAGUUCCACGACCAGGGACUGUACCCUGGCCCCCUGCUUUGGGAGCACAGAGUCUUAGCCAUUGGACCACCAGAGAAGUCCCUAAAAUUUGAUUUUCAAACAUGUGCUUCUCCAUUCAGAAAAUGUUUAUAAAGCUCUGGAUCAGGCACAAUGCUAGGAGUUAAGAAUACAGCAUUGAAUGAAACAUAGUCUUAAAAGUCUGUUGAGAAAGAGACAUGAAUGAAGAGGACCUGCAUUGUGGGGUGAUUGAAGCCGUGAUAGGAAUAUGGACACAUUGAGGAUAUGCAGGAAGGCCUCAGACUGGAAGUCCUAGCUCAGCAAAGUCCUGGGUACUUGGGUAGAGGGAUCAGUGUGGGAAAACUUGGAUGAAUGUCAUUGGACAAUACUAUACGUUUCCAAAACAAAUCCAUAGAAAGUGGAUGGAGGUGAGGGAAGGAAGGGCAUGGUGCUAUAUAAUAUGAAGAUACAAGAUAGAUAGUUCUGAUCACAAAGGGCUUCUCUGCUACUUUGGACUUUAUUUAAACUUUGGGCAAUAGGGAAUCCUUGGGAAAGCUUGGAAAAGCACAAAAUACAGGCCUACCAAUAUCCCAAGGGAAAUAUAAUGGAAACAGACUAAGACAAUGCUGUGGAUUUGGAGGGAAAUGAUGGUUUUGAGGAAAAUCAAUAAUAAAAAUGGGAUUGGGACUUCCCUGGUGGUCCAAUGGCUAAGACCCUGAGCUCCCAAUGCAGGGGGCCCAGGUUCAAUCCCUGGUCAGGGAGCCAGAUCCAACAUGCCACAACUAAAGAUUCCCACCUGGAUGUGCAAUGAAUUUUUUUAAGUUUUAGAAAAGUUAAAUAAGACAUAGUGACUGCUCAGAUACAAGGUAAAAGGAGAAGAAGGGAUCACGGGUUCCCGUCUUGGUCAGAUUUCUCAGAAUUAGAGGUCUGGCUGGGUUGUACCAUUCUUCAAGCCUAGCAACUCAGAAGGAGCGACCUAUUUGUUGUGGGGAGGUGGGUAGCAGCAGGGAGGAGAGAGUGGCGAGUUCCAUUGUGGACACGUUAGUUUCAGAUGCAUUGGCCCAUCCCAGUGAAGGUGAGCAGUUGGAUGUUCCAAGUCAGAAGCUUGGGAGAGAUGUUUGGGCUGCAGACCUGAAUCCAAAAAUCAUGGUGUGGGGGCAGCUGAAACCAUGUAAAAGACAGGCCAACCAGGAGCAGAGAACAGAGUCCACUGUGGACCCCUUAAGAGCCACCAGCUUUUCAGGAUGAAAGAAAUAAAAGUGACAGAGGGAGUAGCCGAAGGUGAUAGGAGACAAGUCAAGAGAUACAAUAUCAUGUGAGUGACUGAGCACAGCAAGUAAAGGAAAGAGUGUUCCCAAAAGGAUGGAGUUAAAAAAUAAUAUGGAGUGACUGGGAGGUCAAGUUCGAUAACUAUUGAAAAGUAUCAGCUGGAUGAGCAACAUCUCUGGAGAGAAAUUCUAGUGGAUUGGGAGGGACAGAAGCCAAGCUUUUGUGGACUAAAGCCAAGUGGGAAGGAACAAGUGGAAAAAGAGAGAAUAACCUUCUUUCUCAAGAAGCUUGGCUGGGGACCUCUUUGGUGGUCCAGUGGCUAAGACUCAGCACUCCCAAUGCAAGGGCCUGGGUUCAAUCCUGGUCAGGAACUAGAUCCCGCGUGCUGCAGCUAAAGAAUCCACAUGCCACAGCUAAAAGAUCUUACAUGUUGCAUCGAAGAUGGAAGAUGCUCUGUGCUACAAAUAAGACCUGGUGCUACCAAAGAAAUAAAAGUGACAGAGGGAGUAGCCGAAGGUGAUAGGAGACAAGUCAAGAGAUACAAU
rnacentral:lncRNA from 1 species